rnacentral:tRNA from 1 species
GGCCUAAUGGUCUAGUAGCAUGAUUCUUCCUUUGGGUGCAGUGUAUGCUGCAAAAUUGGAAGAGGUCCUGGGUUCAAUUCCCAGUUGGGCCC